rnacentral:rRNA from 1 species
AUUGAACGCUGGCGGCAUGCUUUACACAUGCAAGUCGAACGGUAACAGCACUUCGGUGGCUGACGAGUGGCGAACGGGUGAGUAAUACAUCGGAACGUGCCUAGUAGUGGGGGAUAACUACUCGAAAGAGUAGCUAAUACCGCAUGAGAUCUAAGGAUGAAAGCAGGGGACCUUCGGGCCUUGCGCUACUAGAGCGGCUGAUGGCAGAUUAGGUAGUUGGUGGGAUAAAAGCUUACCAAGCCGACGAUCUGUAGCUGGUCUGAGAGGACGACCAGCCACACUGGGACUGAGACACGGCCCAGACUCCUACGGGAGGCAGCAGUGGGGAAUUUUGGACAAUGGGCGCAGGCCUGAUCCAGCAAUGCCGCGUGCAGGAUGAAGGCCUUCGGGUUGUAAACUGCUUUUGUACGGAACGAAAAGCCCUCUUCUAAUACAGGAGGGUCAUGACGGUACCGUAAGAAUAAGCACCGGCUAACUACGUG